rnacentral:rRNA from 1 species
CAAUAGCGUAUAUUAAAGUUGUUGCAGUUAAAAAGCUCGUAGUUGGAUUUCUGGUAGGAGUGACCGUGCCAGACUUGAUUGUCUGUGUAUUGUGUUGUCUCCAGCCAUCCUUGUGGAGAACUUUUCUUGCAUUAAUUUGUAGGGAUUGGGACCCGCAUCGUUUACUGUGAAAAAAUUAGAGUGUUUAAAGCAGGCAAUCGCUUGAAUACAUUAGCAUGGAAUAAUAAGAUAGGACUUUGGUACUAUUUUGUUGGUUUGCAUACCAAAUUAAUGAUCAACAGGAACAGUUUGAGGAUAUUCGUAUGAACAUGUCAGAGGUGAAAUUCUUGGAUUUUGAUCAGACGAACUACUGCGAAAGCAUUUAUCAAGGAUGUUUUCAUUA